UACGGGGGGGGCAAGCGUUGUUCGGAAUUACUGGGCGUAAAGGGCUCGUAGGCGGCCAACUAAGUCAGACGUGAAAUCCCUCGGCUUAACCGGGGAACUGCGUCUGAUACUGGAUGGCUCGAGUUCGGGAGAGGGAUGCGGAAUUCCAGGUGUAGCGGUGAAAUGCGUAGAUAUCUGGAGGAACACCGGUGGCGAAGGCGGCAUCCUGGACCGACACUGACGCUGAGGAGCGGAAGCCAGGGGAGCAAACGGG
rnacentral:rRNA from 1 species